rnacentral:tRNA from 1 species
ACGCCAGUAGCUCAACUUGGUAGAGCGUUGGUCUCCAAAACCAAAGGUUGGGGGUUCGAUUCCCUCCUGGCGUG